GACCGCCUAGCUCAGUUGGCAGAGCAUUGGGCUAGUAUUCCAAAGGUCGUAGGUUCGAAUCCCACCGUGGCCA